rnacentral:rRNA from 1 species
GACGUAGGGCGCGAGCGUUGUCCGGAUUUAUUGGGCGUAAAGAGCUCGUAGGCGGCUUGUCGCGUCGUCCGUGAAAACCCACAGCUCAACUGUGGGCUUGCGGUCGAUACGGGCAGGCUAGAGUUCGGUAGGGGAGACUGGAAUUCCUGGUGUAGCGGUGAAAUGCGCAGAUAUCAGGAGGAACACCGGUGGCGAAGGCGGCGCUCUGGACCGAGACUGACGCUGAGGCGCGAAAGCGUGGGGAGCAAACAGG